rnacentral:rRNA from 1 species
UACGUAGGGUGCGAGCGUUGUCCGGAAUUACUGGGCGUAAAGAGCUCGUAGGUGGUUUGUCGCGUUGUUCGUGAAAACUCACAGCUUAACUGUGGGCGUGCGGGCGAUACGGGCAGACUGGAGUACUGCAGGGGGAGACUGGAAUUCCUGGUGUAGCGGUGGAAUGCGCAGAUAUCAGGAGGAACACCGGUGGCGAAGGCGGGGUCUCUGGGCAGUAACUGACGCUGAGGAGCGAAAGCGUGGGGAGCGAACAGG